GCCGAAGUUUGAAAUUCUGUAAGGAUUCUGUGCAAUUCAUUCUGUACUAUUAUUCCCAGAAAGUACAUAUUCUUCUAAAAAUAACGGAAAGCCACUUUAUCUAUCCAUCAAUCAACUCAUAGUCAACUAAAUCUCUUCCCACUCUCUCUCUCUCGCUUAGAGAUAUAUAUGUAUAUCACAACGCCUCUUGGGACAUAGCCUAGUAGUGCAAAGGACAGGAAUGAGAUUAUUCCACCCCUUGCUGGCAGCCGCAGUGUUAGGGUUCGAUUCCUGAGACAUGAAAUUGGACUUCUUGUAGACGCAGUGUACAGACAACUCUUGUUCCCUAAUCUGUUGAGGCAUAUCCCGCGAUUUACCUCCCUCACAAAGCUCUUGGGAAGGGGCGGGGCGGAGCAGGACGGGGCCCUCAAGGUUGGGGUUCAACCUUUAUAUAUGUAUAUCACCUUGUAAACAAUUCAGAUUACGUGCACAGUAAAAUGGAAUGAUAGAUAAUAG
rnacentral:lncRNA from 1 species